UUCCGGUUGAUCCUGCCAGAGGUUACUGCUAUCGGAGUUCGAUUAAGCCAUGCGAGUCUAAAGGUUUCUUCGGAAACCUUGGCGGACUGCUCAGUAACACGUGGAUAACCUACCCUUGGGACUGGAAUAACCCCGGGAAACUGGGGAUAAUACCGGAUAGAUCAGGGAUGCUGGAAUGCACCUUGAUCCAAAGCUCCGGCGCCCAAGGAUGGGUCUGCGGCCUAUCAGGUAGUAGUGGGUGUAACGUACCUACUAGCCAACGACGGGUACGGGUUGUGAGAGCAAGAGCCCGGAGAUGGAUUCUGAGACACGAAUCCAGGCCCUACGGGGUGCAGCAGGCGCGAAACCUUUACAAUGUGCGAAAGCAUGAUAAGGGAACUCCGAGUGCCAGUAUCUAAUACUGGCUGUCCUUGUGCCUAAAACGCGCAAGAUAGCAAGGGCCGGGUAAGACCGGUGCCAGCCGCCGCGGUAACACCGGCGGCCCGAGUGGUAGCCGUUUUUAUUGGGUCUAAAGGGUCCGUAGCCGGCCUGAUAAGUCCUUUGGGAAAUCUGGCAGCUUAACUGUCAGGCUUCUAAGGGAUACUGUCAGGCUUGGGACCGGAAGAGGUAAGGGGUACUCCAGGGGUAGGAGUGAAAUCUUGUAAUCCCUGGGGGACCAUCUGUGGCGAAGGCGCCUUACCAGAACGGGUCCGACGGUGAGGGACGAAAGCUAGGGGAGCAAACCGGAUUAGAUACCCGGGUAGUCCUAGCUGUAAACGAUGCUCGCUAGGUGUCAGACACGGUGCGACCGUGUUUGGUGCCGCAGGGAAGCCGUGAAGCGAGCCACCUGGGAAGUACGGCCGCAAGGCUGAAACUUAAAGGAAUUGGCGGGGGAGCACUACAACGGGUGGAGCCUGCGGUUUAAUUGGAUUCAACGCCGGG
rnacentral:rRNA from 1 species